rnacentral:rRNA from 1 species
AGAGUUUGAUCCUGGCUCAGAUUGAACGCUGGCGGCAGGCUUAACACAUGCAAGUCGAGCGGAAACGAUGGAGCUUGCUCCAGGCGUCGAGCGGCGGACGGGUGAGUAACGCGUAGGAAUUUGCCCAAUAGUGGGGGAUAGCCCGGGGAAACCCGGAUUAAUACCGCAUACGCCCUACGGGGGAAAGCAGGGGAUCUUCGGACCUUGCGCUAUUGGAGAAGCCUGCGUGAGAUUAGCUUGUUGGUGGGGUAAAGGCCUACCAAGGCGACGAUCUCUAGCUGGUCUGAGAGGAUGAUCAGCCACACCGGAACUGAGACACGGUCCGGACUCCUACGGGAGGCAGCAGUGGGGAAUAUUGGACAAUGGGCGCAAGCCUGAUCCAGCCAUGCCGCGUGUGUGAAGAAGGCCUUCGGGUUGUAAAGCACUUUAAGUAGGGAGGAAGGCCCUGUAGUUAAUACCUGCAGGGAUUGACGUUACCUACAGAAUAAGCACCGGCUAACUCCGUGCCAGCAGCCGCGGUAAUACGGAGGGUGCAAGCGUUAAUCGGAAUUACUGGGCGUAAAGCGCGCGUAGGCGGUUUGUUAAGUGAGAUGUGAAAGCCCAGGGCUCAACCUUGGAACUGCAUCUCAUACUGGCAGGCUAGAGUACGGUAGAGGGGGGUAGAAUUCCACGUGUAGCGGUGAAAUGCGUAGAGAUGUGGAGGAAUACCAGUGGCGAAGGCGGCCCCCUGGAUCGAUACUGACGCUGAGGUGCGAAAGCGUGCGGAGCAAACAGGAUUAGAUACCCUGGUAGUCCACGCCGUAAACGAUGUCAACUAGCCGUUGGGACUCUUGAAGUCUUAGUGGCGCAGCUAACGCACUAAGUUGACCGCCUGGGGAAUACGGCCGCAGGUUAAAACUCAAUGAAUUGACGGGGGCCCGCACAAGCGGUGGAGCAUGUGGUUUAAUUCGACGCAACGCGAAGAACCUUACCCUGGCCUUGACAUCCAGAGAACUUUCCAGAGAUGGAUUGGUGCCUUCGGGAACUCU